rnacentral:rRNA from 1 species
CAGUCGCCGCGGUAAUACCGAGGAUGCGAGCGUUAUUCGGAAUGAUUGGGCGUAAAGCGUCUGUAGGUGGCUUUUCAAGUCCGCCGUCAAAUCCCAGGGCUCAACUCUGGACAGGCGGUGGAAACUACCAAGCUAGAGUACGGUAGAGGCAGAGGGAAUUCCGAGUGUAGAGGUGAAAUUCGUAGACAUCGGAAGGAACACCUGUGGCGAAAGCGGCUCACUGGACCAUUUCUGACGCUGAUGCACGAAAGCUAGGGGAGCAAACAGGAUUAGAUACCCCAGUAGUCCCUGUCUCUUAUAC